ensembl:snoRNA SNORA70 Small nucleolar RNA SNORA70
CUGCAGUCAAUUAAGCCGACUUACUGUGCUUCCCUCCUUGUGAGGCACCCUAUGCAUUGGCUGUGAACAGCAGCCUCCUGGGUAACGUCUGCAGCCUGCUGCUUGUACAGAUUGCCCCAACAGGUCCUGGACACAGCC